CCUCCUGUCUGCCUGAGUGACACUGGGAUUUCCUGCAAGGCCCAGAAAGGGCCUCACCGCCUCAAGGAAGUCUUCCCUGACCUGUGCUGCCUCCAUUAUUACACAUGACACCAGACUCUUAUGUACUUGAGGAGUCUGCUCUUCCAGGAAGCUGUCGGCAAAGCUGAGGUGGACAGGGAACUCCUCUGAGCUCUGGAGGCCACCUGUGCCACUUCCAUUAUAGCGCCCAGACUGGGCUCGGCGCCCGGAGGCGGAGGGAACGGUCGGCUGGAGAUAUGGCUGGAGAGCUAGCUGCCAUCUUGGACCACAAGGACAAUGACCAUUCUAAGGAUGGUGGAGAAGAAAGCUUGAUGGCCUAUCUCCAGACCUCUUUUAUGAAAGAGAAUAAAUUUCCGUCUUGUUUAGGCCAUUGUUAUUUGGGAUGUACUUGGACUCCUAAUAAUACAGAUGCUUGAGGCACCACUUCAGGUUCAGCAGGGCUUCACGUUAGACCAUUCAUUGACCAAUUUUUCAACAACUAUUUAUUGAGCGUAUAUCACGUGUCAUGCACCUUUCUAGAUGCAGGGGAUACAGCUCUGAUCAAAUUAAAAUCCCUACUCCCAUGGAGUUCACGUUCCAGUGGAAGAGACAGAAAUAGUAAACAAAAGGACAAGUAUUUGGUAUAUGAGGUGGCCAUAAGUUCUAAAAAGAAAAAUAAAUCUGGGCAAAGAAAUGAGAAGGUAUUUUUUUUGAAUUGCGGAAUCUACUCAAACCCAGUGUUUAAUUUUAAUGCACCACUAUAUUUAUCCAAGCCAGAAUGUAGUGCCUCUGUCAUCUUUCUAUAUAACUUAGCUUAAAAUGCUCUUUAAGAUUCUCAAAUUAAAAGCAAGAUUUAGUGUCCUAAAGUACAUGAAGUUCUCCCUGAUUUUCUCUUUCUUUUUUAAAAUUGUUUCCUUUAUAUACAGAAACUAAGGUGAAAAGAAAUUAUGCACACUGUUUCAUGAAACAAUCUACCUUAUAAUGUAUGCCUUUCUAAUUAUACUGUGUCUGCUUAUUACUUGGGGGAAAAGAAUAUUAUUACACAAGGGUGAGACCAUUCAGUGUUCUCGCUCUCUCUGUCCCCACCACAGUGAGCAAGGAUGCCAUGGGUUGCAG